CCUUUUCAUCCGUGUGGCCGUAUAUAAAUAACGUGCACCUAUCUGAUUAUCAAGUUAGAAAUUGGAAUUACUCUUGUUCUAUUCCUCUGUUACAUAUCUCUGUGAUUUUGUGAAGGAGCUCUAGCUAGGAUGAGUGAGCCACCAAAGUAUGCAUAUCCUUACCCUGCUCAAGGUUAUUAUCAAGGUCCUCCAGUGAUGCCACCACCACAAUAUUAUACAGCUCCUCCCCCAAGAAGGGAUCCUGGUUUUCUUGAGGGAUGUCUGGCAGCUCUGUGUUGCUGUUUCCUUAUUGAUGAGUGUUGCUGCGACCCUUCCAUCCUCUUCAUCUGUUGAUAUUUUAUUUUUAUCUCGUGUGAAGAUAUAUAAUAUUGUGUUAUUGUCUCAGAAUAUUAAUUCGUUGCUUCAAAGUUGAUGAAUCUGCAUAUUUUGUGUUUAAAAUUUUAGAGAGACUAAUCCUUCCAUCCUCUUCACCUCACCUGUUGGAUAAAAUAUUAUGAAGAAAAUCUCCUAUGAAGAUUGUUAUA